AGAAAACCCUUAGGGGAAUGCAAACAUUUAAAAGUUGGCAGAGGAGAAAGUCCCUGUAAAACAGAACAAAAAGCAAUGAUCAGAGAAAUAGGAGGAGAAUCAUAAGAGAUGUCAAAGAAGCAGAGAAUUUGGAAAGGUCUGGAUAAGAAACAGUCUCAAAUGAAAAGCCCAGUUAGAAUAACACUGGGAGUGUCCAGUGUCUUUGACAAUUUGGAGGUGAUGCUUUUGAAAGCAGUUUGAGUUGAGUGGUAAGGUCAGAAGCCAGGCAGCAGUGAGUUUAGAAGUGAGGAAGUAAAGACUCCAAGUAUUUAUCAUUACAAAAUAGGUGUUAUUUUCAAGACGCUUGGCUGAGAAGUAAAGGAGAGGUCAAGAGAGCCUUGCUCCUCGAUAGUAUCCAGCCUCUUUCCCAUGCCGCAUCCCCUGAGCCUGCACCAGAGCAAUGCUGUUGCAGUAUAUAAGGAGGUGGUGGUAGAAGUGGAGAAUGUAUUCAGACCAUCAUACAUCAUUUUAUGGAAGAAAAAGCCUGACACUUUCAUUGGCAAAUAAAUCCUGGAGCUCUGAGUACUGGGAAGGACCUAAGAGGUCAGCUCAUCCAUCUUCACAUCUCUGGGCAGCUCUGCACUGAAAAUCCAUCCCCUAAAUGCAGCUGUCUAGUGGUUUCCCUCACUAUUCUCUAAGGAAGCUACCUUCCUGACCUUCUUUGAUAAGCCAUUUUAGUAUCUUAGUAGAAAGCAUGAAAUUGUUACUAAAGCACCUGCAGUGCAGUAGGGUUACGAAAUUGGAGCACAAAUGGAGUUAGGAGGCUGGACUCUGAGACCAGAACAACCUGGGUUUGAAUUCUGAAUUGAACACCAACUAACUGGGUGACCUUGUGCAAGUUAACCUCUUAAAAAAAUGAAAUAAUAAAAAAGACAGUCCUGAAGAUGUUAUAUGCACAUAUAUACACAUAUAUAAUAUAUGUAAAUGAUAAAUAUAUACUCAAUAAAUACAGACGUACAAAUAUAUACUCGACAAAUGUCUCUUCUCUUCUUCCUUUCUUCUAUUCCUC
rnacentral:lncRNA from 1 species